rnacentral:lncRNA from 1 species
GUGUGUUCGAUCAGAAGAAGAGAAAGAAAGGGGUCAAACCCUAGAACACCAAAAUCUAUCAAAUUGAAAGGGGAAUUGAAGCCUAGUUGAAUGCAUGAACUAAGAAUGGUGAUCAUCUAAGCAUACCCAACAUCAAGAUUCAUUGCUUAUGGGCGAACGGAACUUGGGAGUCAUGUCAAUAGAGGCACAAAUAUGGAAGCGCUACGGGUCGAAGGUAAACACGGAAGCUAUGUGUAAAUUCGGACGCACGAGGUAAGUAAACUCCCCGACUCCUUCCUUAGUAGUAAAAGAGGUUAUUUGUAUGAUAAAUGUUAGCAAUUAUGCAAGAUGCUUUAUUGACAUUGGUAACAAGUAAGGAGUACUAAGGACGUGAUUUCUGAAUCACUUCCUACACCAUUUUAGGAAGGCUAUAUGCGAGUCACUUAAGUAUGGUAAUCUAAGUUUAUUUAGGAUUCUGUUAUUGGAGGUGAUGGUAUUCGCUAAGAAGACCGAACGGGUUAAAAAUAAGAGAGUAUAUUAGUGUAGUUUUUAUGCAUAUAAAGAUGUGAAAACAAUGCAGAAUUGUGCAGUAAUUUGCUAGAAUAUUGGUGCAGUUUGUAUGCAUAUCAAGUUGUCAAAAUAGUGCAGAAUUGUCAUGUUUAUUGUUGUUAAAAUAGU